AACAAGGCGUACCUGCGGACCUGCGGAGGGAUCAUUACCGAGUUUACAACUCCCAAACCCCUGUGAACAUACCUAUACGUUGCCUCGGCGGAUCAGCCCGCGCCCCGUAAAACGGGACGGCCCGCCCGAGGACCCUAAACUCUGUUUUUAGUGGAACUUCUGAGUAAAACAAACAAAUAAAUCAAAACUUUCAACAACGGAUCU
rnacentral:misc_RNA from 1 species